AUGUAUAUUCCUACAACAUAACAUUAAUGCACCAGAUUCCAUUAGAACUUCGCAGUUAAGCACACUCGGGCUAGAGUAGUACUGGGAUGGGUGACCGCCAAGGAAGUCCCAGUGUUUUACAUG
rnacentral:rRNA from 1 species